UGCUAUCUAUGAUGUCUUCACUUAUGGAUAUAUUUAUUAACAAGUACUUAUUAGCUAUUUAACAUUUCCUCUACUGAGUGUUAUUAAUUACAGAUGCUGUAUUAGUUUCCUAAGGCUGCUGUAACAAAUUACCACAAACGUGGUGACUUAAAACAACAGAAAUUUAUUCUCUCACGGUUCUGGAGGCCAGAAGUUCAAAAUACAGCUGGGACCAAAGGCAUCUCUAAGGAAGGAUACAGUCCUUGCCUCUUCCAGGGUUCUGUGCCUCCUGUUGGAAUGAGCUCACUAACCAGUGGAAACAAACUGUUUAUCCUUCUAUGAUGUUGCAACUGCCUGGGCUUUCUAAUGCGUCUUCAGAUUUCGGUUUGUACUCAGAACAAGUGAGAAAAGUUUUACAGCAACUCCACGAAACAAAGCAGACAGGCUCUCCUGAAGCCAAGGAGUUAUGAAAAAGGCAGGCAUCGCGCAUUGAAUCAAGUAUGCCAUUACCCUCACUCCCAUGAACCUGUCUUUCAGCACAAUCCAUGACAGCAAGAAGACAAAGGCUUUGUUACAACAGAACAGAGCGGAGACAUCCGUGGCCGUCAGCUUCUUUAAAGCCAGUAAAUAAAGGAAAGAAAAGAGAAGUUAAUAUCCAGGUACUGAUGGUGACACCUCUUGUCUUAUCUGACUCAUCGCAGCCAUUUUCAGGUAAGAGCACAAACACUCAAUACCCAUCCUUCAUUGUGAAGUAUACUGAACCCAGUUCUGAAAUCUGCGGGCUUCAGGGAGUGUAUGAGGUUCCUUGGAAAAUAGCCCACAUGUGCCCAAGCACAGAGUUAGGCUCUCUUCUCUGAGAUAGUCUCUGGAGGUUGCCUGAAAAGCCAUUCUGUCGUUUUUGAGCAUUCUCAGAAGAGCCUGCAGAAAUACCGAAAUUGGUAGUUGCUGAAAUCACUAGCUAUUGGAAGAGGGUGGGCAAACGAGAGAGGGUCAAGGCUGCUACUACUCUGUGAACGGGCUACAGACAACUCCUAGAACCCGGAGGGAAAGGGACCCUCAUACAUCUGUGCAGCACACAUGUUUUUGGAUUUUAUUUCUAAGACACUAAGCCACUUUCUAAUAUAUCUGCCCAAUUGACUAAUUUUUUUUCCUGCCAGCAUUUUUAAGGCAGAAAAAUGAAGUCCCUGUGAUAACUCCCACAUGAUAAAAACUAUAAUAGAAAACUCAGGUUGUACUUAUAUACAAACAUUUGGCCCUUUUGGAGGAAUUGUCUAAAUUCGGUGUGAGAAAAUGGUCACUUCAAUUGUUAAAUCUUCGGUUUGUUUGAUUUUUCAAGGAAGUUGGCUACAUUUAGCCCCAGGGGCCAUUUUUUUCCUUUAAGUCCUAGGCCUAAACAUGAUUUUUUUUUUCCCCCUAGGUCUGGCUCUCUUACCC
rnacentral:lncRNA from 1 species